rnacentral:rRNA from 1 species
AGAGUUUGAUCCUGGCUCAGAACGAACGCUGGCGGCAGGCUUAACACAUGCAAGUUGAACGUGAUUUGCUGGGUGCUUGCACCGAGCAAUGAAAGUAGCGCACUGGUGAGUAACACGUGGGAACGUACCUUUUGGUGGGGAACAACAGUUGGAAACGACUGCUAAUACCGCAUAAGCCCUGAGGGGGAAAGAUUUAUCGCCGAAAGAACGGCCCGCGGAAGAUUAGGUAGUUGGUGGGGUAACGGCCUACCAAGCCGACGAUCUAUAGCUGGUCUGAGAGGACGAUCAGCCACAUUGGAACUGAGACACGGUCCAAACUCCUACGGGAGGCAGCAGUGAGGAAUAUUGGGCAAUGGAGGCAACUCUGACCCAGCCAUGCCGCGUGAGUGAAGAAGGUUUUCGGAUUGUAAAGCUCUUUCGGGUGUGACGAUGAUGACGGUAGCACCUAAAGAAGCCCCGGCUAACUUCGUGCCAGCAGCCGCGGUAAUACGAAGGGGGCAAGCGUUGUUCGGAAUUACUGGGCGUAAAGGGAGUGUAGGCGGUUAUGUAAGAUAGUGGUGAAAUCCCAGAGCUUAACUUUGGAAUUGCCAUUAUGACUAUGUGGCUAGAAUUACAGAGAGGAUAGUGGAAUACCCAGUGUAGAGGUGAAAUUCGUAGAUAUUGGGUAGAACACCAGUGGCGAAGGCGACUAUCUGGCUGUAUAUUGACGCUGAGGCUCGAAAGCAUGGGGAUCAAACAGGAUUAGAUACCCUGGUAGUCCAUGCUGUAAACGAUGAGUGCUUGUUGUCGGUGUAAAAUCGGUGACGAAGUUAACGCGUUAAGCACUCCGCCUGGGGAGUACGGUCGCAAGAUUAAAACUCAAAGGAAUUGACGGGGACCCGCACAAGCGGUGGAGCAUGUGGUUUAAUUCGAAGCAACGCGAAGAACCUUA